rnacentral:rRNA from 1 species
AGCAGCCGCGGUAAUUCCAGCUCCAAUAGCGUAUAUUAAAGUUGUUGCAGUUAAAAAGCUCGUAGUUGAAUUUCGGGAUCAAGUCGUCGGUCGUGCCUCGGUACGCACUGGUGACAUUGGUUUCUCCCUUCUGAAGAACCUUGAUGUCAUUAAUUUGGUGUCUUGGGGAAUCAGGACUGUUACUUUGAAAAAAUUAGAGUGUUUAAAGCAGGCUCACGCUUGAAUACAUUAGCAUGGAAUAAUGAAAUAGGACGUUUGAUUCUAUUUUGUUGGUUUCUAGGAUCGACGUAAUGAUUAAUAGGGAUAGUUGGGGGCAUUAGUAUUCAAUUGUCAGAGGUGAAAUUCUUGGAUUUAUUGAAGACUAACUACUGCGAAAGCAUUUGCCAAGGAUGUUUUCAUUAAUCAAGAACGAAAGUUAGGGGAUCGAAGACGAUCAGAUACCGUCGUAGUCUUAACCAUAAACUAUGCCGACUAGGGAUCGGAUGAUGUUAAUUUUUUAAUUGACUCAUUCGGCGCCUUA